rnacentral:snRNA from 1 species
AUCGCUUCUCAGCCUUUUGGCUAAGAUCAAGUGUAGUGUCUGAUAAGACCCUCCCUCUAAGGAAACGCAUAAUUUGAAGAGGGUUAUCUUUU